UACAGAGGUCUCAAGCGUUGUUCGGAUUCAUUGGGCGUAAAGGGUGCGUAGGUGGCGCUGUAAGUCGGGUGUGAAAUUUCGAGGCUUAACUUCGAAACUGCAUUCGAUACUGCCGUGCUUGAGGACUGGAGAGGAGACUGGAAUUUACGGUGUAGCGGUGAAAUGCGUAGAUAUCGUAAGGAAGACCAGUGGCGAAGGCGGGUCUCUGGACAGUUCCUGACGCUGAGGCACGAAGGCCAGGGGAGCAAACGGG
rnacentral:rRNA from 1 species